rnacentral:rRNA from 1 species
GAUGAACGCUGGCGGCGUGCCUAAUACAUGCAAGUCGAACGGACAGACCAUGAUCUUGUGGGGCGCUCGUUUGGCGCACGCGUGAGUAUAACGUGUGUAUAAUGCCCCUGUCUUUGGGGUAACAUCUGGGAACAGCGGAUCAUACAGGGUAGGAGCUCUUGCAGCACGGUGGGGGAUGGUAAGAUUCGGCGGUUGGGGAUGGUCUCGCGGCUUAUCAGCUUCUUGGUGGGGUAGUGGCUUACGAAGGCUUCGAAGGGUAGCCGGCCUGAGAGGGGGACCGGCGACAUUGGGACUGAGAGACGGCCCAGACUGCUACGGGAGGCAGCAGGGGGGAAUAUUGCGCAGUGGGCGGAAGCGUGAUGCAGCAACGCCGCGUGCGUGAUGACGUCUUACGGGUGGUGAACCGCUGUCGCCGGUGACGAAGCGUGAGUGACGGUAAUGAGUAAAGAAGCACCGGCUAACUACGUG